rnacentral:sRNA from 20 species
AUGAAAUUGAUCACAUACCAAACAUACCCCUUUGUUUGAGUGAAAGAUUUCUCCCAUCCCCUUUGUUUAAUACCGUGUAUACAGACACGGUAUUUUU